AACCUCAAUUUGAUGGCAUCGUUAGUAACACCAUUGAACUUGAAAGUGUCGCAGAUCUCAAUGAAGUCCCGAAUAUGCGUAUUAGGAUCCUCAGUCGGAGAACCCCCAAACUGCACUGAGUUCUGUACCAUCUGAAUAGUGCUCGGUCUGAUCUCGAAAGUGGUGGCCUGAAUUGCUGGCCUGAUAAUGCUCGACUGAAUGUCAUUGAUUUUAGGCUCAGAGAAAGCCUUAAGAGCCUUAGUAUCAUUCGCCACUGGUGGUUGGUCGCCCAUUGUAGUGCUC
rnacentral:lncRNA from 1 species